AUUGAACGCUGGCGGCAGGCUUAACACAUGCAAGUCGAACGAGGGGCGGACGGGUGAGUAAUGCUUGGGAAUCUGCCUUAUGGAGGGGGAUAACGACGGGAAACUGUCGCUAAUACCGCGUACCAUCGGAUGAGCCCAAGUGGGAUUAGGUAGUUGGUGGGGUAAUGGCGCACCUAGGCGACGAUCCCUAGCUGGUCUGAGAGGAUGACCAGCCACACCGGAACUGAGACACGGCCCAGACUCCUACGGGAGGCAGCAGUGGGGAAUAUUGCGCAAUGGGGGCAACCCUGACGCAGCCAUGCCGCGUGAAUGAAGAAGGCCUUCGGGUUGUAAAGUCCUUUCAGUGACGAGGCGUUAAUCACAGAAGAAGCACCGGCUAACUCCGUGCCAGCCGCCGCGGUAAUAC
rnacentral:rRNA from 1 species